rnacentral:rRNA from 1 species
GGUGAACGCUGGCGGCGUGCUUAAGACAUGCAAGUCGAACGGCAGUCUUCGGACUGUAGUGGCGCACGGGUGAGUAACGCGUAACUGACCUACCCCAAAGUCGCGGAUAACGAUUCGAAAAAUCGCUAAUACGUGAUGGGCUGUCAGAUUGUGUUCUGCCAGUAAAGAUUGAUUGCUUUGGGAUGGGGUUGCGUUCCAUCAGCUAGUUGGUGGGGUAAAGGCCCACCAAGGCGACGACGGAUAGCCGGCCUGAGAGGGUGGCCGGCCACAGGGGCACUGAGACACGGGUCCCACUCCUACGGGAGGCAGCAGUUAGGAAUCUUCCACAAUGGGCGAAAGCCUGAUGGAGCGACGCCGCGUGAGGGAUGAAGGUCUUCGGAUCGUAAACCUCUGAAUCAGGGACGAAAGACACUUCGGUGGGAUGACGGUACCUGAGUAAUAGCACCGGCUAACUCCGUGCCAGCCGCCGCUGUAACAC